UUGAGUGAUUUUAAGGGUGGAAAUUUGAAAGAUAGUCUUAGAAGGCAACGACUUCUAAGUUUGAUUUUAGGAGUAACGAUCCCAAAACCCUAGUUAACAACUAGUUUGAACCUUAACAAAGUUCUCUUCAAGCAAAAGCUCAAUAAUCUCAAAUUAUAAUUCAUAAAACAUCUUGUUAAAAUAAUUGACAUACAACUAGUAUAUAUAGGAAAAAUAAAUCUAUCCUACUUGCCCUGCAAGCAAACUAAAUAAAAAGCCCUAAUAAUUAAUUAAUGAACCAAGAGAGCCCACUAAUUAAUUAACACAACUUUGGAAGCCCAAGGCCCCAUAACUACUACUAAGAAAAUAAUAAAAACAUUAUUAAAAACUCACUUGUAAAACCCCUACUUUAAGAGUAAGGCAAAACCAAGAGAGUACCUAAAUAAAGCAAUAAAAAUAGUUAUAAGGAAGGGGACUCGAUUCACAUCAUUAGAGUCGGGAGAGUCUUGGGAAAGGAAUACCUAUUGUGUCUUUCUCCAUUGGUGACUCUGCAGAAUUUUUAUAUGGUGAUCAGGCAGAUGCUGAAAAGGCUGAUAAGAUUAAAUUAGAAUCUGGAGAUGUUCUAAUAUUCGGAGAGCUUUCUCUAACCCCCCACUAAAGCAAAAUAACUUUCCUCUCCAUUGAAGUAACUUGAAAG